CUUGGACAUAAAAAAAAAGCAAAUUUUACCCUUAGCAACAGUGUGGAUGGAUCUGGAGAACAUUUUGCUAAGUGAAAUAAGCCAGUCAGAGAAAGACAGAUACCAUAUAAUUUCACUUAUAUGUGGAAUCUAAUGAACAAACUGAACUAACAAG